CCGCGCCCCCCCAAAAAAAAAACUAAAAAAAAGUGUGUAGAGGAGACAAACCCUAAAUCUAGGAUCCCAUUAACGUCUAGACUGUCAACAAAUUCUCUCAAAUUGGCGGCAAAAAUCUGUUACAGUUGUUCCCCGUACCCAACAAUACCUAUUCUUUGUUCCGAUAUUUCCUCAUCUAAUACCUCAAUUCUCACACACAAGUACACAGUGUUUCUCUAUAAACUCAAACCAAACUCAAAUCGAUGCUGGUAAGAAGGCUGUGCACAUCUUUAGCCAAAUUCAACAACAACCCAUUUUUCCUCAGUCGAAAAUUCAUCAACCCUUUUGCUGAAUUCCCCUCGAGCCCAGCAUUCCUCACCUCCCCAAAAACUCUACAAUUCACCUCCCACAGGCCAGUUUUACCGGCCCGGUGCUUCUUUUCUGCAAAUUCACCAAUGGGUGAUGCUAGAAGACCUGCGGUAGUCCCCAUACCAUGCCCAGAAACUGCAGACCGGGCUGAGCUGUAUCGGGCUUUGGAGGCCUCAUUAGGAUCCCCAUUCAGCUCUGAGCCGCUGGUGCCUAAUCCUAAUCCUUUGGUGAUUGUGAUCAGUGGACCAAGUGGGGUUGGUAAAGAUGCAGUUAUCAAAAGGUUGAGGGAAGUUAGGGAAAGUAUACAUUUUGUUGUUACUGCAACGAGCCGGGCAAUGAGGCCUGGUGAAAUUGAUGGCAAAGAUUAUUUUUUUGUGAGUAAAGAGGAGUUCUUGAAAAUGAUUGCGCAAGACGAGCUAUUGGAAUAUGCGUUGGUGUAUGGUGAUUAUAAGGGUAUCCCAAAACAGCAGAUUAGGGAACAUAUGGCUAAAGGGAGUGAUAUUGUAUUGAGAGUCGAUAUACAAGGGGCCGCAACGUUGAGAAAUAUUUUGGGGAAGUCUGCUGUGUUCAUCUUCUUGGUUGCUGAGAGUGAGGAGGCAUUGGUGAAAAGGUUGAUUGAUAGGAAGACUGAGACUAAGGAGACCUUGCUUGUUAGAAUUGCCACGGCCAAGGAGGAAAUCAAGCAUUUGAGCAAUUUUGAUUAUGUGGUGGUGAAUAAGGAAGGGGAAUUGGAUGGAACGGUUAAGUUGGUUGAGUCAAUUAUUGAUGCAGAGAAGGCUAAAGUGAAUCAAAGGAAUAUAGUCAUUUAGUGCUGGAAUGGUCUUCUCAAUCGAUUAGGUAAAUUAUGAAAAUUUGAUUCAUUGGUUGUCAAAGCUAGAAUGUUAUGUUUAUGGUAUUGUCUCUUUUCUACAGUGAAACAAUUUUUGUAGCUACAGUUGAGGCACUUCUACUUAUUUCAAGUUAAUGCAAUGUUAGGUCCCCUGUUAGUGAAUUCUUGUCACCAUCUUUCAGCUUGAAUACUUGGUACUCUCAGUGGUUUGGUGUUCAUUCAAUAAAACUGCGUGAGUUUAGAUUUUUUUUUCAGUUUGUGGAGUGCUUAGGAUUCAGUUUUAUUCAUAGCCCAAUCUCAAUACCUUCUGCAAAAGUCUUCUUCAAUAGAAAUACUGGCUUGCUUAGGUCGAGUAAGUAACUGAUGCUAUUUUGGAGUCAUUACUGUCUUUCUUUUUUUUCUUUUUUUUUUAAAAUUUUUAAGAUAUGGGUUUUACACAAAUAUUCGUUUUCACAAAUUUCAGUGUGUUGGUUUUUGGCAUUGAUCUUGUAGAUGAGCUGAGGCAUUGCAUAUAUUUUAUGAGAGAGAAUGCAAAAGCAAUGAUCAGAAGUAACUGCAUAUGGAUAAUUCCUCCUGAAAGCCUGCUUAGCCAAAAUGAAAAUUGGGAAAAUAGUGGAAAUAUGCCCAAGUCAGCUAGUUAAUCUUGAGUUAUCGAGGGUUUAAUUUCUUUCUAUUCAUAAUUAUAGGAAGUGAACUAAAGGCAGUGCAAGCAUCUGGUUGUCAUUGAUAUGUUGAUAAUGUUUAACCUUCUUUUUCCUCUUUCUGACAGUUAUGUCCUUGCUGAUUAUUCUUUUUGAGUAAUUGGUUCUUUAAUUGGAGAGUUUGUAGCAGCUAGCACUCCAGAAGUAGUCAUGCAAUCAAUCUUUAAAGACUCAAGUAGCUCAUUUUCAGUAAACCGUAGCAGUGGCAAACUUGUUUCAAUGUUGUUUUACUGAUUUAUAUCACUAUGAAUAAUGCUAAGGUUUUGUUUCGCUAAGGCCGUCUUACUUGUUUAUUUUACUUGUACCUCUAGAGCAAAGCUGUGUAUUAACUUAUAUUGCUCAAACUAAUACUUUGAGCAGGAUUCUCUCAUUUUUUUCUCAUACGUAUUUUGAGUGGUCAUUUACAUAUUGGCAUAUGUUUUGAGACUUUGAUCCAGGGAAAAAUUUAAAGUUUGUGAACCUUAAAACUUCAUGAAUUGAGUUGUUCUUUCACUUUUUCUCUUUGUCAUCAUAAGAAUUGGAGAAUCAUAUGACAAGGGGAAAAUUUUUAGUAUUUUUUGUCGUCAUUUAUGUUUUCUAGCAUACAUUUUGAGACUUUGAUCCAGGAAAAAUUGCUAAGUUUCUGAACCUUAAGGUUGAAACAUUGAUGAAUUGAAGUGUUUGUGAAUCAAGUUGUUCUUUCACUUUUUCCCUUUCUCGUCAUAUGAAUUAGAGAGUAAUCAUUCAUCAACCAUGUAUUUGAAGAUCAAUACUUCCCAUGCUUUCUUACAGUUGUAUGUUCUUGUAGGCGGCAAAUGGUAUCUGCUGAGUGGUGGUGUCGGAUUACUGUUUAAUGUAUAUACAACUGUUUAAUGUAUAUUCUAACUGUUGUUGAUUGGUGACUUCAUGGAUACAUAGUUGCAGUAAUUUUUUCCCCUGUGCCACACCAUGAGAGCUGAAACAUGAGAAAGAUGGUGUGGCGAAAAUGUCUCGUCUUCUCUAUUAUCCAUUACUUCUUCUUGUUACAUGUAUCUUUAUCCAGCUCUACACUUCACAUUAUUAUUUGUCAUGAGGACUUGGAGGCAUUUACCAUGGUAGUGGUGUUGCUACGCCACGCUCAUCUUUGAGAUAACUGCUGAAAGACCUGAGGUCGUUUGAGAAAAUCUUCAGGUUUAGGUUUUGAAUUGGAGGUGUUAUACAAGAAAUACACUAUUGUAUUUUGUACAAGCAGGGGUAUAGCUUGUUCUGAGAACUUGUGGAAUUUUGUGUUAUAAUUUUGCGUUAGUGUUUGAAUCGUGCGAGUGAAAAGCAGAAGAUGUGCAGAUGUUUCGCUGUUGCUUCAGAGUAAAUCAAGAACGUGUUGGAAGACAUUGGACCAAAGAGUUUAUACGGGAAAAACCAGAGACUUGCUUAUUGUAGCCAAUCAAUCUUUUAUGUAUCUUAUCGGGAAAAACUUCAGCUUUGGGCUCAAACAUAUCAUCAUUUCUAUUAAGAAUGUCUUCAUAUAUAGCGUGACUUUCGGAUGCAA